rnacentral:rRNA from 1 species
CGGCAACAGCUCAAAUUUGAAAUCUGGCUUCGGCCCGAGUUGUAAUUUGUAGAGGAUGCUUUUGGCGAGGUGCCGUCCGAGUUCCCUGGAACGGGACGCCAGAGAGGGUGAGAGCCCCGUAUGGUCGGACACCGAACCUCUGUGAAGCUCCUUCGAC